AAUUAUAUAUUCAAUAAUGAUUUUAAAUUGCAAAUUUAAAGGUAGCUUACAGCUUAUAAUUU
rnacentral:tRNA from 2 species